rnacentral:rRNA from 1 species
GGGAGCUUGCUCCCUGAUGUUAGCGGCGGACGGGUGAGUAACACGUGGGUAACCUGCCUGUAAGACUGGGAUAACUCCGGGAAACCGGGGCUAAUACCGGAUGGUUGUUUGAACCGCAUGGUUCAAACAUAAAAGGUGGCUUCGGCUACCACUUACAGAUGGACCCGCGGCGCAUUAGCUAGUUGGUGAGGUAACGGCUCACCAAGGCAACGAUGCGUAGCCGACCUGAGAGGGUGAUCGGCCACACUGGGACUGAGACACGGCCCAGACUCCUACGGGAGGCAGCAGUAGGGAAUCUUCCGCAAUGGACGAAAGUCUGACGGAGCAACGCCGCGUGAGUGAUGAAGGUUUUCGGAUCGUAAAGCUCUGUUGUUAGGGAAGAACAAGUACCGUUCGAAUAGGGCGGUACCUUGACGGUACCUAACCAGAAAGCCACGGCUAACUACGUGCCAGCAGCCGCGGUAAUACGUAGGUGGCAAGCGUUGUCCGGAAUUAUUGGGCGUAAAGGGCUCGCAGGCGGUUUCUUAAGUCUGAUGUGAAAGCCCCCGGCUCAACCGGGGAGGGUCAUUGGAAACUGGGGAACUUGAGUGCAGAAGAGGAGAGUGGAAUUCCACGUGUAGCGGUGAAAUGCGUAGAGAUGUGGAGGAACACCAGUGGCGAAGGCGACUCUCUGGUCUGUAACUGACGCUGAGGAGCGAAAGCGUGGGGAGCGAACAGGAUUAGAUACCCUGGUAGUCCACGCCGUAAACGAUGAGUGCUAAGUGUUAGGGGGUUUCCGCCCCUUAGUGCUGCAGCUAACGCAUUAAGCACUCCGCCUGGGGAGUACGGUCGCAAGACUGAAACUCAAAGGAAUUGACGGGGG